GAUGAACGCUGGCGGCGUGCCUAAUACAUGCAAGUCGAGCGAACAUAUGAGGAUCUUGCUCCUCUGACGGUAGCGGCGAACGGGUGAGUAACACUUGGGUAACCUACCUAUAAGACUGGGAUAACUUCGUAAAACCUGAGCUAAUACCGGGUAAUGUAUUGAACCGCAUGGUUCAAUAGUGAAAGACUGGUUUGCUGGCACGGAUAGAUGGAUCCGCGCCGCAUUAGCUAGUUUGUAAGGUAACGGCUUACCAAGGCAACGAUGCGUAGCCGACCUGAGAGGGUGAUUGGGCAGCUUGGAAGUGAGACACGGUCCACACUCCUACGGUAGGCAGCAGUAGGGAAUCCUACGGGAUGGGGGAAAGCCUGACGGAGCAAAGUGGGGUGAGUGAUGAAGCUCUUAGGAUGGUAAAACUAUGUUAUCAGGGAAGAACAAAUGUGCAAGUAACCAGGACCGUAUUGACGGUACCUGAUCAGAAAGCCCCGGCUAACUACGUG
rnacentral:rRNA from 1 species